UAUGGCCAUACCACCUCCCUGAACGCGUCCAGUCUCGUCUGGUCCCAGACACUGAGCAGGCUCGGGCCUGGUUAGUACUUAGAUGGGAGAAAUUGGGUCAACCAUCA
rnacentral:rRNA from 1 species